AUUGUUGCUUAUGCACUGUAUCACUACUUUCUGAAAAUACAGAAUUAUAUUUAUGUUCAUUGUAUACCAUGUAACAGUUGAUUGAUCUCAGAUUUCAUAUUCAAAAACCAAAAAUCGAUGACUCUCAGAAAUGAUAAUCAGCAAAAGGAAAAAAUGGUUGCUUAGUAGCUUGACAAGUACAAACUUGUACACGAGUUAAUUAAAUGAAUGCUUACUGAAUUUCACCUUGGGUUACUACUUGUUCUAUGAACAAAGAAUGGUAACCCACUACGCACUCAUCUAUUUAUACUUUUACACAUCCAUCACUCAUUUCCA
rnacentral:lncRNA from 1 species